GGACGAGUGGUCCUGGCAGCUGCUAGGAACGUACCAGAAAAUUGCCCCAGCCAGGCUCCUGACUGCUCUCCAAAAAGUGUUACGAAAGCCAAGUUCGCUCUGCUCGCCGCACAACAGGCCGAUGCAUUCAGAGAGCAUCGUUCAGGCAGGAAUAACGACUUUGAUCAGAAAGCUAGCAGGCUGAGAAGCUAGCAGACUCGUGUCUCAAAAACCAUCUUGCCUCAGUCCCAAUUCAGGCUCCUUUCAUACUGAGAAAGGAGAGGGGGAAGGGGCCAAAGGUCACUCUCUGUCACUUGCUUGGGGGCAAGGCUCACCCCAGUGCUGACCCGAGGCUGAGCAGGACCUCUAAAGGUCCGUCACUCACUCAUGGUUCUCGCUUACAGUAUCUCUUUGAGUCCCUGCUUUUAAGUCUUUGGGGAAUAGCCUAGAGGCAGAACUGCCGGCUGAGAGGCGGCUUCUCCGUUCAGCUUUGUUGGGAGCUGCCAACCGGGUUUUCACAGUGGCUGCACCGUUUACAUCCUCGGCAGCAGGGCACAGCCGGUGCCCCUGGCUGCAUCCCCUCACCGACACUCACUUUUAAAACGGUUACUUUCCGGUUGCAGCCGUCGUGAUAGGUUGUCAGGUGAUCUCUCCUUGUGGUUUUAAUUUGUGUUUCUAAAUGGCUGAGACUGUUGGGUACCUUUUGACGUGCUCAUCGGCUGUCUGCGGCUGGCACCUGCACUGCAGCCUUUCUGGAGACCUGGCUCUCUAGCUUGCGGGUCUGAUGCUGUUUCCAGUUAGCGAGUGUCAGCCUUGAAUGGCGUCGUCCACUCCCAGUUGGUGUCAGCACUGCCCUCCCGCCUUCCAGUUCUCGGCCUGCUCUCCUGCCUGGCCCAGCGGCCACAAACUCUGCAGGGGCAUUUUCAUUUCUGCUGUCACACUACUUCAGCUCCAGGAUUUCUCUUUGGGUCCCGUGCUUUCUUCUCCUUUGAUCCCAUUGACUAUUUGUUGCUGAUGAAGUGACUCUCGGUGGCUCCCAGAUAGAAUCCAAGGAAGGGUCAGGGGCCAGUUCACAGCUGGCCCGCGGAAGGUGCGGGAGGUCUGGGCCCACAGCUGCUCUGACGUCGGGGACAGCGGCUGGAUGCCUCCCCCUCCGGGUAGUUCGUGGCAGGGCUGGAUGGCAUCAGGAUCGUCCUCUGGCGCUGGGAGAUUUGGGGACUCGGUGGUUGGCGUGCAAACCCCACAAUCUGGGGGCAGCGUGGGACUGACCCGUGGUGCCAUGUGCCUUUUUCUGAGGACGGAUGCUGACCUCCAGGCCCCUCACCCAUCGCACUACACAGGCUCUGGUCUGGUCUUAAAUUUCUUCCGUGGCAUUUUUCUAUUUUGAAAGUGCUUGGUUUCUUCCUGACAGUUUGGCAGUGGAUCUCUGGCUAUGUCAAAAGUGGAUGCGACACAGGAAAAAGUAGAUAAACUGGGCUUCAUCAAAAUUGAAAACUUCAAGGAAAAAAAAAGGAAUUCCCAUUGUAGCUCAGCGGGUUAGAAAGCUGACAUAGGGUCCAUGAGGCUGUGGGUUCCAUCCCUGGCCUCGCUCAUUGGUUAAGGAUCUGCCUAGGCCUGCAACUGCAGCUCCAAUUCACCUCCUAGCCUGGAACUUCAUACGCUGCAGGUGCAGCCCUAGAAAAAAACUGAAAACCUUCUGGGCAUCCGAGGAGACACUGUUAAGGAAGUGAAAAGACAGCCUCCAGAACGGGGGGAAAUAUUUGCAAACCGUCCAUCUGACAAGGGCCUGGCAUCCAGAGCAUAUUAAAACUCUCAGAGCUCACAGCAGAAUGUCACAUGAUUCAAUUAAAAAAUGGGUCAUUGCUCCAAAAAAGAUACACAUUGGCCAGGAAAUUUGUGGAAGGUGACGAUGCCUUUGGUGACGUGCAUUAGAAAUGCAGAGGCUGCAACGACAGACACUCCCGGCGGGCUCGGGGGAAGCGAAUCUGACGGGCAUCCAAGAGGAUGCAGGUUCGAUCCCGGUCCCCGCUCAGGGGGUCAAGGCUCUGGCGUUGCCGUGAGCUGUGGUGUGGGUCACAGAUGCGGCUCGGAUCCUGCGUGGCUGGGACGGUGGUGGAGGCCAGCAGCUGUAGUUCCAGUUCGACCCGUGGCCUGGGAACGUCCAUAUGCCGCAGGUGCGGCCCUAGAAAGCAAAACAAACCAAAAUACCAAAAAGCCAAUGCCACUGAAUUGUGCCCGCGGAAGGUUAAUUUGAGGCGAAUGUUCCCUCGGUACGUGUCUUGAGCGAUUAUCCCGCAGCAUCGCGGUCCGUGUGGUGGGGACAGUGGUCGGCACUGUCCCGCAGGCUUUGUUCCUUCCAGCCGUGUUCUCGAAUAACUGCCCUGCCCGCGCUCCCCCCAGGGCCUGCUGCUCACCGGGGGCUGGAAACAGCGCCGCGCUCUGCUCGUCCCCUGGGCUUCGUGUCCGGAAGCUCCGGCGGCCGUCCCUCUUCUCAGGACCGCCUGUGUGGGCCGGUCACAUCCCUGUCCCAGGCUCUAAACCCCCCAGGGAGGUGGGGACGCACCUGCUGGCAUUUGGGGCCUGGGCAGCGGGAGAGAGCAUAGGCUUAUUUUUUAAUUAACAUGAAAGCUGAACAAAAAUUGGCUAAAAGGCAAAAAAAAAAAAAAA
rnacentral:lncRNA from 1 species